GAUGAACGCUGGCGGCGUGCCUAAUACAUGCAAGUCGAGCGAACAGACGAGGAGCUUGCUCCUCUGACGUUAGCGGCGGACGGGUGAGUAACACGUGGAUAACCUACCUAUAAGACUGGGAUAACUUCGGGAAACCGGAGCUAAUACCGGAUAAUAUAUUGAACCGCAUGGUUCAAUAGUGAAAGACGGUUUUGCUGUCACUUAUAGAUGGAUCCGCGCCGCAUUAGCUAGUUGGUAAGGUAACGGCUUACCAAGGCAACGAUGCGUAGCCGACCUGAGAGGGUGAUCGGCCACACUGGAACUGAGACACGGUCCAGACUCCUACGGGAGGCAGCAGUAGGGAAUCUUCCGCAAUGGGCGAAAGCCUGACGGAGCAACGCCGCGUGAGUGAUGAAGGUCUUCGGAUCGUAAAACGCUGUUAUUAGGGAAGAACAAAUGUGUAAGUAACUAUGCACGUCUUGACGGGACCUAAUCAGAAAGCCACGGCUAACUACGU
rnacentral:rRNA from 1 species